ACUCCUACGGGAGGCAGCAGUGAGGAAUUAUUGGUCAAUGGAGGGAACUCUGAACCAGCCAUCCCGCGUGUAGGAAGACGGCCUUAUGGGUUGUAAACUACUUUUAUACAGGAAGAAACGUACCCUCGUGAGGGUGCCUGACGGUACUGUAGGAAUAAGCACCGGCUAACUCCGUGCCAGCAGCCGCGGUAAUACGGAGGGUGCGAGCGUUAUCCGGAUUUAUUGGGUUUAAAGGGUCCGUAGGCGGAUUAAUAAGUCAGUGGUGAAAUCCCAUCGCUUAACGAUGGAACUGCCAUUGAUACUGUUAGUCUUGAAUGAGGGUGCAGUGGUUGGAAUGUGUAGUGUAGCGGUGAAAUGCAUAGAUAUUACACAGAACACCGAUUGCGAAGGCAGAUCACUAACCCUAAAUUGACGCUGAGGGACGAAAGCGUGGGGAGCGAACAGGAUUAGAUACCCUGUAGCGACUG
rnacentral:rRNA from 1 species